rnacentral:rRNA from 1 species
GAGUUUGAUCUUGGCUCAGAUUGAACGCUGGCGGCAUGCCUUACACAUGCAAGUCGAACGGCAGCACGGGAGCUUGCUCCUGGUGGCGAGUGGCGAACGGGUGAGUAAUGCAUCGGAACGUAUCCUGGAGUGGGGGAUAACGUAGCGAAAGUUACGCUAAUACCGCAUAUUCUGUGAGCAGGAAAGCGGGGGACCUUCGGGCCUCGCGCUCUUGGAGCGGCCGAUGUCGGAUUAGCUAGUUGGUGAGGUAAAGGCUCACCAAGGCGACGAUCCGUAGCAGGUCUGAGAGGAUGAUCUGCCACACCGGAACUGAGACACGGUCCAGACUCCUACGGGAGGCAGCAGUGGGGAAUUUUGGACAAUGGGGGCAACCCUGAUCCAGCCAUGCCGCGUGAGUGAAGAAGGCCUCGGUUGUAA